GUGUCAGCAGCCGCGGUAAUACGUAGGGUGCGAGCGUUAAUCGGAAUUACUGGGCGUAAAGCGUGCGCAGGCGGUUUUGUAAGUCAGAUGUGAAAUCCCCGAGCUCAACUUGGGAACUGCGUUUGAAACUACAAGACUAGAAUAUGUCAGAGGGGGGUAGAAUUCCACGUGUAGCAGUGAAAUGCGUAGAGAUGUGGAGGAAUACCAAUGGCGAAGGCAGCCCCCUGGGAUAAUAUUGACGCUCAUGCACGAAAGCGUGGGGAGCAAACAGGAUUAGAAACCCCCGUAGUCC
rnacentral:rRNA from 1 species